CCUACGGGUGGCAGCAGUGGGGAAUAUUGAACAAUGGGCGAAAGCCUGAUCCAGCCAUGCCGCGUGUGUGAAGAAGGCCUUCGGGUUGUAAAGCACUUUCAGUGGGGAAGAAAGCCUUGGGGCUAAUACCCUCGAGGAAGGACAUCACCCACAGAAGAAGCACCGGCUAACUCCGUGCCAGCAGCCGCGGUAAUACGGAGGGUGCGAGCGUUAAUCGGAAUUACUGGGCGUAAAGCGCGCGUAGGCGGUCUGAUAAGCCGGUUGUGAAAGCCCCGGGCUCAACCUGGGAACGGCAUCCGGAACUGUCAGGCUAGAGUGCAGGAGAGGAAGGUAGAAUUCCCGGUGUAGCGGUGAAAUGCGUAGAGAUCGGGAGGAAUACCAGUGGCGAAGGCGGCCUUCUGGACUGACACUGACGCUGAGGUGCGAAAGCGUGGGUAGCAAACAGGAUUAGAUACCCUGGUAGUC
rnacentral:rRNA from 1 species